rnacentral:pre_miRNA from 1 species
AAGCUACUCCCUCCGUUCCGAAUUACUUGUCGCAAAAAUGAAUGUAUCUAGAACUAAAAAAUGUCUAGAUACAUCCAUUUCUACGACAAGUAAUUCCAAACGGAGGGAGUAGUAU